rnacentral:lncRNA from 1 species
UGCAAAAAAGGCAUGUAAUGGGAUCAGGCGCUGCGGAUCGUGGCGGUAACCGGGCUUUAGCGCUGCUGGUGCAGACAGCUUGCGAAGCUCUGCAGAGGUCAGCGGGUGCGUCACUGGAGCGCGCGUUGACACUGUGUGGAGCCCGGAGGCGUCGCGGACUUUUCCGACUUCUUCCACUGCUUUUACUCGCAAUGGGGCUUCUUUUGCCUUUUGGUGAGCGAUGA